UACAGAGGUCUCAAGCGUUGUUCGGAUUCAUUGGGCGUAAAGGGGUGCGUAGGUGGCAUGGUAAGUCGGAUGUGAAAUCCCGGGGCUCAACCCCGGAACUGCAUUCGAUACUGCUGCGCUAGAGUACUGGAGAGGAGAUUGGAAUUUACGGUGUAGCAGUGAAAUGCGUAGAUAUCGUAAGGAAGACCAGUGGCGAAGGCGGAUCUCUGGACAGUUACUGACACUGAGGCACGAAGGCCAGGGGAGCAAACGGG
rnacentral:rRNA from 1 species